AUUCUCUUGCAUGGUGUAUAAGUAUAUAUAUAUACUACAUAAGGAAAUUGCAGAUUGGUCCAUUUCUUUAUGCACUUACUUAUGGUCAAUUUUCUUACAAUUAAUUUAUUUAUGCAUGUGCUUAUGAACUUUAUAUGCGAAAGUCCAUGCUCCCGCCAUUACUGGUGUGUUUUCUGUAUACAUUCCAAUGGUAGGACACCAUUACGCCGUUUUUCUCUUUACUUUUUUAUAGAAAACAUGGUAUUAUCGCCUCGUAUCUCGUGUUUGUUGUGAGUAAUGUGCAGUACAACACCAUCACGCCAUUAGGAUGUAAACAUUAUGUAUACGUAUAUAAAAUUUUUGGGAGGACCAGUAAAAGAUAAAAAGACAAUUGUCGAAACCUCAUGUAUUCAGCAUUUUCAUUAAGAAACUCAUAAGAGAGUUACCAAAUCAAAUAUGAAAAACAAUUUUAUCCCGGAUGUGUCUUACUAUUAUCAGAUUCCAAAGAAAACAUCAAAGAAUUGAUGGAUAAGAAAAGAUUGCAAUCUGUUCCCUCGCAUUUGUUGAUGUCUGCACCUGAAACUAAUUCUGAUGCCGAUAAUCCUAUUGAACGGUUUAAAAGUUCAUCAUCACCAAGUACCGAAAAUAAAACAUGGUAUUAUCGCCUCGUAUCUCGUGUUUGUUGUGAGUAAUGUGCAGUACAACACCAUCACGCCAUUAAAGGAUGUAAACAUUAUGUAUGCGUAUAUAAAAUUUUUGGGAGGACCAGUAAAAGAAAAAGACAAUUGUCGAAA